rnacentral:rRNA from 1 species
AUUGAACGCUGGCGGCAGGCCUAACACAUGCAAGUCGAACGAGUGGCGGACGGGUGAGUAAUGUCUGGGAAACUGCCUGAUGGAGGGGGAUAAAUACUGGAAACGGUAGCUAAUAACGCAUACUAUCGGUUGUGCCCAGAUGGGAUUGGGUAGUAGGUGGGGUAAAGGCUAACCUAGGCGGGGAUCCCUAGCUGGUCUGAGAGGAUGACCGGCCAAACUGGAACUGGGACACGGUCCAGACUCCUACGGGAGGCAGCAUUGGGGAAUAUUGCACAAUGGGCGAAAGCCUGCUGCAGCAAUGCCGGGGGGAUGAAGAAGGCCUUCGGGUUGUAAAGUACUUUCAGCGGGGCGGCGGUACCCGAAUAAGAAGCACCGGCUAACUCCGUGCCAGCAGCCGCGGUAAUUC